rnacentral:rRNA from 1 species
GGAAACUUGAGCUAAUACCGGAUGUGCCCUUCGGGGGAAAGAUUUAUCGCCAUUGGAGCGGCCCGCGUCUGAUUAGCUAGUUGGUGGGGUAAAGGCCCACCAAGGCGACGAUCAGUAGCUGGUCUGAGAGGAUGAUCAGCCACAUUGGGACUGAGACACGGCCCAAACUCCUACGGGAGGCAGCAGUGGGGAAUCUUGCGCAAUGGGCGAAAGCCUGACGCAGCCAUGCCGCGUGAAUGAUGAAGGUCUUAGGAUUGUAAAAUUCUUUCACCGGGGACGAUAAUGACGGUACCCGGAGAAGAAGCCCCGGCUAACUUCGUGCCAGCAGCCGCGGUAAUACGAAGGGGGCUAGCGUUGCUCGGAAUUACUGGGCGUAAAGGGAGCGUAGGCGGACUGUUAAGUUAGAGGUGAAAGCCCAGGGCUCAACCUUGGAAUUGCCUUUGAUACUGGCAGUCUUGAGUACGGAAGAGGUAUGUGGAACUCCGAGUGUAGAGGUGAAAUUCGUAGAUAUUCGGAAGAACACCAGUGGCGAAGGCGACAUACUGGUCCGUUACUGACGCUGAGGCUCGAAAGCGUGGGGAGCAAACAGGAUUAGAUACCCUGGUAGUCCACGCCGUAAACGAUGAGUGCUAGUUGUCGGCAUGCAUGCAUGUCGGUGACGCAGCUAACGCAUUAAGCACUCCGCCUGGGGAGUACGGUCGCAAGAUUAAAACUCAAAGGAUUUGACGGGGGCCCGCACAAGCGGUGGAGCAUGUGGUUUAAUUCGAAGCA